CAGAGUUUAUCUCACGUACGCGUAUGAACCAGAACCGAAAAUCUCCUGUUUCUUCGCCGGCUCCGUUCGAUUUCGUGCUCUCUUUUUCCACGAAAUUCUAUCUAUAAAUAACCCACACCUGUGCACACUUUAUCCCGCAAAAACCCUAACCAAUCCCGCCGCCAGGCUGACGAUUUUGCUCGCCGGAGUCCGUCUCUGCCGUCGCCGUAUUUCUCUCGAUUCCGACGAGUAUUCAAGCGUAGCGCUGACGCCGAAGAAAUCUGAGGUUGCCGCAGCCUUGGCAACUCCGUCCGAAGAACGCCGGCAACUCAGGGCCUCCGAGGCAACGCCCUGUAUGCAGUCGACCCCUUCGUCUUCGUCCGCUUCACGUCGACCUCGCCACCACCGCCGACGACCACUAGAACGACGGGAACCAUCACCUCGACUGGAUCACACCGGAGCAGCACCACCUCCGGCCGUCCUCGUCGUUGUUACACGGAAGAGAUCGAGGCCGCCGGCCUCAACACCGAGCUCUGCGCGAAGAGCUGGUUCCCGUGGACAUUUUCCCUGAGCCAGGACACCACCGGAGAGGGGACAUGGACCGCGCGCGAUCACGCCAGUGUCUCCUUCGUCAACAUUUGUACGGAGAGAUACGAGUUUUGAUUGAGAGAAGUGCAGAAUUCUUCAAUUACCAAAAAGGCAAGUGUCACACACUGUUCUGUCCUAUUAUUUUUGUAUGCACAUUGUAGUUAUUUUCAGUAGCUAUGUAUGUGUAGGAGUUUUUCAAAUUAUAUAUUGCUAUGCCAAUAAACCUAUCUAGGAUAGCCAUAUGAUUUCAUGCUUUAUUCUUUGUCGCCACCGUACUGUAGUAUGCUUAGCGUUGCUAUUGUAGAUGCGUGGCUGGGAUUUCAUGAUGUGAUAUGUGGUAUGGUGAAAGUAUUGUUUUAUGUAAUAAAACAACCUAAGAUAAUGAAUCAUCUGGGUGGAAGUGGUUUGCUUGGUUUAUGUUGAGUGGUUACAACGGAGUCAUGUCUAUGGCGGUCGUGUGUAUCACACUUGUGGAUGGCCACCCAGAAACAAGGAGAUUUGACAGGUUUCUUGUUUAGUAGCUUCCGUGUACAGCCGCAUGUCAUAUGGGCUCUGGCUUGACUAAGUAGGUUGUAGGAACCCGACCUGACGUGACUAGCAGAUGUAGAUGUGUA